ensembl:lncRNA
CACAUAUAACACACACAGGAGACAAUGAACACAUAUACCCCAUACACAUAUAACACACACAGGAGACAAUGAACAUGUAUACCCCAUACACAUAUAACACACACAGGAGACAAUGAACACAUAUACCCCAUACACAUAUAACACACACAGGAGACAAUGAACAUGUAUACCCCAUACACAUAUAACACACACAGGAGACAAUGAACACAUAUACCCCAUAUACAUAUAACACACACAGGAGACAAUGAACACAUAUACCCCAUAUACAUAUAACACACACAGGAGACAAUGAACACAUAUACCCCAUACACAUAUAACACACACAGGAGACAAUGAACACACAUACCCCAUAUACAUAUAACACACACAGGAGACAAUGAACAUGUGUACCCCAAACACACACACACACACACACACACACACACACACACACACACACACACACACCACGCAACACACAACACACAGGAGGCAAUGAACAUGUGUACCCCACAUACAAUGCAUACAGGAGACAAUGAACAUGGGACCCCUGCACACAUAGAACACACACAGGAGGAAAGGAAUCUAAAGGCCCACAACUUAUGAGCCAAAAGAUACAAGCCAAUCAUGAGGCAAAUAGGUCGGUUCCAUCGCUCCUGAAAUAGGCAGACUGACAGUAAGUAAACCGAGUCCCAUACCCAAGCAGCUUCCCUGCUGUAUCUCAGGUGACACUGAGGCCACAGUGCCAGGUAGUCAGCUUCAGGAGGUGACUCCAGACAGUCGUUUCCACGUGUUCCUAUGGAUAGUUUUGUUUUUUUUGAUUUUUUUUCCAUGCAACAUAUCUUAAUCAUGAUUUUGCCCUUCCUGCAACUCCUACCGGACCCUCCCUGCUCCACCCACCCACCCACCCUCACAUCCUUUCUCCCUUUUGCUCCCAAACCAGACGCUAAGAGGGAGAAAACGAAAACAAAAGACGACGGCCAUUUCUACCGCCACCACACACCCUCCAACAUGUUAAGUAAGGGACCUGCUUUCUCUCUUCUCCUAUAGCCGCCCCCACCUUGUGCUGUCUAGUUUGUGGGACAGACGGGUCCAGGCAGCUGUGGGCUGACAGUGAGAACACAUGGAAUGAUUCCUUUGCCCAGAGCUGAGACUCAAGCCCGAGAGAGGUGAUGACCGGUCUGUGCACCACACCAUCGUGUCGCCCUCCCAUGGCAGCCUUGUGUGGGCUUUUGCGUAAAACCCACUGUAUUCCAGGGCUCUGAGUUACUUCCCCAUCUCCCAGGUGUCCCCGGGAAGCUCACCCCAGUGGCUGCAGCUGGCUGUCCCACAGAGCACCCUGAACUUCCCACAUAGCCUCUGGAACACAUCUGCCACUGCUGCGGCUUCUGCUUGGCCACCCCAGGGUGACAGGGCCUUCUGCUGGCCCACACAUUUUGCACAUAGCUUCUGAGACAGCAGCCAGCCUAAUUGUGGCCAUCACACCAAGGAGGGUCCACAUGCCAGGAGGUGAGAGAAUAGAAGACUCCACCCCUGGAGUUGGCUGAGGUAGCCAGUGAGUCACUAGCCCUGACCUGUGACCAUGAUGUCCCAGGGGACAGUGGGAGACCUAGAGAAGAAGUUCGGUGCAGGGACACCAACCACAGUGACUCACAGUUGGAUCCCAUAGGGAAGUUCCAGCUACAAACCCCUGGGAUGACACUAGUCCCAGGCUGAGCUCACCCCUGCAACUAAUGAUGCCGGCUUGGGCUCCCAGCUUUCCCCUCUCAACUCCCUGCCUAGUGGAAGUUGUCAUCUGAGUGGCAGCGCCCCCCCCACCCCCCCCAAAGCACACAUGAUGGAUGGAGUUGAGGAAAGGGCAUGUCCUCCCAGGGUGUCAGAUUUUUCAUCAGUUACAACAGUCCUUCCUCCCUCUGACACCACACAGGAGGAGCCUUGGGGGCUAGAAGGCAAUGAUGUCACAGCUCUUUGAAAGGAAGUAGGCAGAGCCAGCCCUCUAAUCCUGUAAGAUUACUGAGGCAGCAGGGCAAGGCACUGGGUGGGAAGCUGUCCCCAGGAGUUGCCCAGAAACACACCUGGCCUUGGCCUUGGUAGGAACACAGGGGCCAAGAUUCUUCCCUCCUUCUCCAAACACUAUCAACAGAGCACCCAUUUCCAAGGCUUUACCCAGAUACGCACCUAGUUCUCCCUAGAUAGACACCAGACUUCAAUGUCUUACAGGCUCAAUUUCCAUCACACAGUUGCUAACAACAGCCAAGGCUGGAGGCACAGGGAUACAUUCUCGGGAAGACCCUCUGUAUCCAGGGUUAACUUGAGCGAGGCACUCUGAGCCCGUCUCUCCUUGAUGGCUGUUGUAGCAUGAUGGCUGACCCCAUAAUUUCUACAGCUGUCAAUUAGCGCAGCUCGUUCUCAGAGGGAAAAGUCAGGUGAGAGAAAGACUGGGGAGCUGCAAGACCAGGGCAGCCCUCAGAGAUGGGAGGAGCCCACACAGGAGCACCCUCAGCACUGUUAGCUGCUCCAAGGCCUGAUGGUGAAACUUCUAGGUGUCCCUUGAAUGCCCCUAGCACCUACCCAUGCCCGAAGAUAUGCAGAACAAGAAAACAUAGGCAUUUGGCCACUCUCCUCUUACCCAUGUUCCCAUUUCCUUUGCCAGUAGGCCUGCAGGGUGUGUGUAUUGGGGAUGACAUUAAGCCCAGAGCCCAAUGCCAGAGGCGAAUCUAAAUUCAGCAGUUAUGGAAGCUCCUGAGAUGUGACCAGGGCUUUCUGGACCAUUGCCAUCAUCACUACCAUUCUGUAUAUGACAGGGUAGGAGGGAGAUGGGCACAUUAUGUCUCUCUGCCUCUGUCUCUGUCUCUCUCUCUCUCUCUCACCCUCCCUCCCUCCCCCCUCUCUCAAACACACACACAGUUUAGACCCUCUCCUCCCAGCCACCUGCUCUUCUGGGCUUCGAUACCAGCCCCUGAGAAAGGACCUUAGGAGGGAGAGUCAGACCCUAGCACACCGCACCAGCGCUGCUGCGCUCUCUCAACAGCAGGGUCUAGGGCCUCCAGGCUCUCCCUGGCCUGGUUCUCUUGCGCAUCAGCCCUCACUGAGAUGCUCACACAUCUAUCUGCUCUGCUUCGCAAGUCCACCCUGAGCUUCCAUGCUCCUGCUUUGAUCCGCUAAUGCGACCAUUCCCUCUGUCCCAAAGAGUCUUCACAAAAGCAUGCAGGGUGUCCUCCGUCCCUCCUUCAGGUCUCCAUCUCCCUCUAAUGAAAGCUAUAACCUGUGCUCACCCCUCCCUCCAGCUGCGCUGGGCUGGGUUUCCCGGCUCCAUAUUCGUCUGCAAUACCAUCAGCUGUUUGUAUCCUCUUUAGUUGUUUGAAAACUUUGUUUUUACUACAUAUCACCUACACUCACCCUAUUAAUCUCAG